rnacentral:rRNA from 1 species
AACGAACGCUGGCGGCAGGCCUAACACAUGCAAGUCGAACGCCCCGCAAGGGGAGUGGCAGACGGGUGAGUAACGCGUGGGAACCUACCCUAAGGUGCGGAAUAGCCCAGGGAAACUUGGAGUAAUACCGCAUAAGCCCGCAAGGGGAAAGAUUUAUCGCCUUUGGAUGGGCCCGCGUCUGAUUAGCUAGUUGGUGAGGUAAUGGCUCACCAAGGCGACGAUCAGUAGCUGGUCUUAGAGGAUGAUCAGCCACACUGGGACUGAGACACGGCCCAGACUCCUACGGGAGGCAGCAGUGGGGAAUAUUGGACAAUGGGCGAAAGCCUGAUCCAGCCACGCCGCGUGGGUGAUGAAGGCCUCGGUUGUAAGACCUGUCGGGAGGGACGGAAGUACAAUAGACGGUACCGUCCCAACGAAAGACACCGGCGUAACUACCGUGCCAGCAGCCGCGGU